rnacentral:misc_RNA from 1 species
GUAGGUGAACCUGCGGAAGGAUCAUUAACACGUUUCACCACGUAUUAAAAAUCUUUACCCCUCUGUGAACUUUUUCUCUAAAACAUCGAAAAUCCUAGCAUGGGGCGACCUGUGUUAGGUCGCUGGGCUGUUGGCGUGCUGCUGUUUCGGCAGCUGCUGCCUGCUUGGCGUUAACCCAACCAAACCCUUGAACCUUUUACAUCUGAAACUCUUUUUCCUGCCACUCGUGGCUGCAAAAAAUAAAACACAAAAACAACUCUUAACAACGGAUAUCUUGGUUCUC